rnacentral:rRNA from 1 species
GAUUAACGCUGGCGGCGUGCAUAACACAUGCAAGUCGAACGAUGAAACUUAAAUGAUUUCUUCGGAAUGAACUUAAGUGGCUUAGUGGCGGACGGGUGAGUAACGCGUGAGUAACCUGCCUUACACAAGGGGAUAGCCGUUGGAAACGACGAAUAAUACCCUAUGAAACUAUCACUUCGCAUGAAGCGAUAGUCAAAGUGUUAGCGGUGUAAGAUGGACUUGCGUCUGAUUAGCUAGUUGGUGAGAAAAAAGCCCACCAAGGCAACGAUCAGUAGCCGGCUUGAGAGAGUGUACGGCCACAUUGGGACUGAGACACGGCCCAGACUCCUACGGGAGGCAGCAGUGGGGAAUUUCGCACAAUGGGGGAAACCCUGAUGCAGCGACGCCGCGUGAUUUAGAAGGCCUUCGGGUUGUAAAAAUCUUUUGUAUAGGAAGAAAAUGACAGUACUAUACGAAUAAGGGCCGGCUAAUUACGUG